rnacentral:rRNA from 1 species
GAUGAACGCUGGCGGCAUGCCUAAUACAUGCAAGUCGAACGGGAUAUCUUCGGAUAUCCAGUGGCGAACGGGUGAGUAACACGUAGGUAACCUGCCCAUGUGCCCGGGAUAACGCCUGGAAACGGGUGCUAAAACCGGAUAGGUAUCGCUUCUGCAUGGAAGAGAUAUUAAAGGAGCUGCAAGGCUCUGAACAGUGGAUGGACCUGGCGGUGCUAUUAGCGUUGGGUUGGUGGAGGGUAACCGGCCCCACCGAAGGCGACGAUGCAUAGCCGGCCUGAGAGGGU